UGAGGGCGGCACUGGGCGCUAUGGCUAACGACAAGGCGUCAGGUUUAGAUGGGCUUCCGGCAGAAGUAUAUAGGACCUUUACGGAAGUGCUGCUCCCGGAACUUUUGAAGGGUGGCGGAGCUGGAGCAGUGGCAUAGCCGUGCGAGGUGAGCCAGGACAGGAGAGGGAGUAGUCCCGUCUGGGAGGAAGAAAGAAGAGCCUGCCUGAAGAUACUGAGUGCCAUCUCGCGUGCCUGCUAAGUUAGGGUGGCGGAGCUGGAGCGGUGGCAUAGCCGUGCAACGUGAGCCAGGACAGGAGAGGGAGUAGUCCCGUCUGGGAGGCAGAGGAAGAAAGAAGAGCCUGCCUGAAGAUACUGAGUGCCAUCUCGCGUGCCUGCUAAGUUAGGGCACCUGAAUACGUGAGAGGACGUCCCUGACCAGAGUGAAUCAGCAGGACCUUCAUUUGAAGAGGUCAAGAAUCGUUGGCGGAGCUGCCGUGACCAAUUCCGCAAGGAAAUGAGAAAUCAGGGGCGGAGCGGGGCUGGUCUCCACAAGAAAAGACCGUACCUCUUCCGGGAGCAGCUAAUGUUCCUUCGCGCCGUCAUGGAUCUGCGUCCAGGAGGAAGGAGAAGAAUCGGCUCCACAAUUGUCCAGUGCUUGUGAGGAGGAGACGACAGCUGGGCAGCAGGAGACUCUUCCUGGACCCAGACCAGCACCUUCCGAGCCUCCUGCAGCAUCAGGAGCUGAUUUGUGCCGCUAUGGCUAUGACAACUAAUUGUCCCCAACCACCCCACUGUUUCCCAGCCAUUACCCGACCAACAACAAAUGCCCCCCCCCAAGGGAUCAUUAUGGGCCACCAAUGGCGCCAUAUGUUCCCCAGAUUCAGGGUGAACCCAGCUAUGGUCCUCCGGGACCCUCGCCCAGUCGAGCUGGGCCACCACAAUGCCUUGGCCCCCCUUCCCAGGCACAAUAUUCAAGGGCUCCUUCCCAGGCCCAAUAUUCAGGUCCCCCAUCCCAGGGCCAAUAUUCAGGUCCCCCAUCCCAGGGCUAAUAUUCCGGCCCCCCUUCACAGGGCCAAUAUUCCGGCCCCCCUUCACAGGGCCAAUAUUCCGGCCCCCCCUUCACAGGGCCAAUAUUCCGGCCCCCCCUUCACAGGGCCAAUAUUCCGGCCCCCCCUUCACAGGGCCAAUAUUCCGGCCCCCCCUUCACAGGGCCAAUAUUCAAGGGCUCCUUAUGAGGGACAAGCUCAAAAUCAGGCUGGACCCUCACAAUAUUCAGCCCCUCCUUAUCAGGGACCUUCUUCGCCAAGGCAAUAUGUUAAUUUGCAGUAAUUUUGCCUGAAAAAUUUAUUUAUUUUCAUAUACCAGAGAUUUUAUUUUCAUAUUGUGUGCAAUAAAACACAUUUUUGUUUUCAA